CCUACGGGAGGCAGCAGUGAGGAAUAUUGGUCAAUGGACGAGAGUCUGAACCAGCCAAGUAGCGUGAAGGAUGACUGCCCUAUGGGUUGUAAACUUCUUUUAUAUGGGAAUAAAAUGUUCCACGUGUGGGAUUUUGUAUGUACCAUAUGAAUAAGGAUCGGCUAACUCCGUGCCAGCAGCCGCGGUAAUACGGAGGAUCCGAGCGUUAUCCGGAUUUAUUGGGUUUAAAGGGAGCGUAGGUGGGUUGUUAAGUCAGUUGUGAAAGUUUGCGGCUCAACCGUAAAAUUGCAGUUGGAACUGGCAGUCUUGAGUACAGUAGAGGUGAGCGGAAUUCGUGGUGUAGCGGUGAAAUGCUUAGAUAUCACGAAGAACUCCGAUUGCGAAGGCAGUUCACUGGACUGCAACUGACACUGAGGCUCGAAAGUGUGGGUAUCAAACAGGAUUAGAUACCCUUGUAGUC
rnacentral:rRNA from 1 species